rnacentral:rRNA from 1 species
CCCCUAGACGUUCUGGGCUGCACGCGCGCUACAAUAAUACGCACAGCGAGUAUCACCGAGCUCGAAAGGGCAAGGUAAACAAUAGAAAAGGUACUGUAAUGGUUAUAGAUCCUUGUAAUUAUUGAUCUUCAACGAGGAAUUCCUAGUAAGUAUGUGUCAUCAUCACGCACUGAUUACGUCCCUGCCCUUUGUACACACCGCCCGUCGCUCCUACCGAUUGAGUGGGCCGAUGAAACUGCCGGAUGUGGACUAUUCAUAGUCUGCAGAAGAUAUUUGAAUCGUAGCGCUUAGAGGAAGGAGAAGUCGUAACA